UAGACUAAUUAUUUGAAGGAUGAAGCUUUACUCUUGCAUCUUAGUUUUGUUUCUCUUGAUCUCUUCAGGUACAGAGAUGAAGGAGGUUAAGGCAGCGAGGUGCAUGGAAGUGCUGGACCCAAAUGGAUGUAUUCUACCAUCUUGCAAGCAACGUUGCCUUCAAGAAAAGAAUGGAAAUGGAGUUUGUGUGCCUAAUCGGAAUGGAGGCUAUGAAUGUAUUUGCUAUUACAACUGUUGAUCACUUCGCUAUGAAUGUGAUUACUAAUUUAACUGUUGAUCACUUCAUAUAAAAUAAGUAAAAUAAAAAACCUGUUUGGAAGGUUUUCUUUAA